CCAAAAUGUGUAACGUCACUUUGGGCCGCAGCCUGAAAUAGCGACCUGAACAGUGAACAAGAUGUGAGAUAACGUUAUUCGCUGUGGACAAGCUUGGCGUUG